UUUAGUUUUAAGAAAAGAUUAUUUUUCUUACGUAAUAUUUAUUAUUUCCUUCAUAAAGGGUUGUUUGUUUAUUCACAAAAUAUUAUUUCAUUGUGAGGUAUCGAUUUAAUAUUAUCUAGUAAAGCCAAAUUUCCGCUGCGAGCUCCAACAAUUUUCGUGUAUCGUAUAGUAUAUUAACGUACACAAAGUAUAUUUAAGAAUGAUCGAGUGCAAGGUAUACCGUAUACAUGCAUACAUUUAAUGUACAACUAUAGAGGUGAAAUGUCGAGAAGAAAUGACCCAUGAUGGUUGUAUGUAAGCUAAUUUAAGAUGGGAAGUUGUCCAAAGCGAAAUAAAAAAUGAAAAAGGAAGUUUGCGGAUUGUAUUUCACUAUUUCUUUACCAAGUUAUUUGGUGUAUAUCAAAUGAUAGUAUCUUAAAAUUCUCAAGAA